rnacentral:rRNA from 1 species
ACACGCAUGACACACUGCAUAUCAAUAAGCGGAGGAAAAGAAACUAACAAGGAUUCCCCUAGUAACGGCGAGUGAAGCGGGAAGAGCUCAAAUUUGAAAUCUUCAAGGUUCUACCUUGACGAAUUGUAGUUUAUAGAAGUGUUUUCUGUUAGUAGAGUGGCAAAAGUUCUUUGGAAUAGGACAUCAUAGAGGGUGAGAAUCCCGUAUUUGGUCAUUCUUUCUAGCUUUGUGAUACACUUUCAACGAGUCGGAUUGUUUGGGAAUGCAGUCCAAAAUGGGUGGUAAAUUUCAUCCUAAAGCUAAAUAUUGGCGAGAGACCGAUAGCGAACAAGUACCGUGAGGGAAAGAUGAAAAGAACUUUGAAAAGAGAGUUAAACAGUAGCGUGAAAUUGUCAAAAGGGAAGCGUUUGACACCAGUGUUGUUUUUCCGAAAAUCAAUUACGAAUGUUUUGUUUUUGAGGAGUUAUGACUUCAUCGGCUUGCUUCCUUUCUUUACGAAACUUUCUUAAUGCACUUUUCGGUUAACAAGUCAACAUCAAUUUCUUUUGUUGUAAAAGGGUAUGAGGAAGGUGGCUUUCUUUUCGGAGAAAGUGUUUAUAGCCUUGUACCUCUGCAAUCGGAGAGAUUGAGGUCUGCAGCGUAGAUCCUUCGGGGAUUAGAUACAGUUUGUGCUAAGUUAUAGCUUUUCAUAGACAACUUGUUGACUAUGUUUAGUCUUGUAGCUUACUCGCUGAUGCUAUUUUACCUACGCUUAGGAUGUUGAGCGCAUGUCUCUCUCU